rnacentral:tRNA from 1 species
GACCCUGUAGCUCAGCAGGAUAGAGCAGCCGCCUCCUAAGCGGCAGGUCGAAGGUUCGAAUCCUUUCAGGGUCGCCA